CGCUAACCUGCACGGCGAGGACGACAGCGGACAGAUCAGACGGACGUGAUUUGACUUUGCUUCUGAUUCGGUGGAUCCACACCGUACGAGGUAACAAACACACAAAUAAACAAAAUAAAAAGCCAAUGAUGACACACUGCUUCAUCUGCUUUAACCCUUAUAGAAUCAACUGUGUUCUUUUCCCUAUUCAAUUCAAUGAUGCAGUAAUGGUCACUCAUCCCUGAUGCAAUUCGACAUGAUCAAAUAAUGGAGAUAGAUGCGAGGCAAGUGACAAAAAAGAACAAGAUGUCAGAUAAAGAUUAGUUCUUGGUGCAUUCCUUACCCAUAUGAAGGUUCUUCACUGUGCAUGUCUUGGCUUCUCAUUUGCUUGUAUUUCCUCUCAAAUGCUAUUCUUAUGCGUUCUCCAGCCUGCGAAGGACGUAAAACAUGAUCUUACGUAAAUAGCAAUUUCAUCAAUUGGAUGGAGGCAAAAUCAAUGCUGCUAUCAUAACCAUCACAUCCUGAACUGGGAAAGGCAUUACAUAAUCUAGAAGAGGAUGAACGCGACGAUGCAGACCGGAAAAGAGCAAUUGGAUUCAUCAUUUUUACUGUCGAAGGAAUGCAGAGUUAAAUGGAUCCCCCAUCUUUUUCUCAUAUUGGUUGAAAGGAAUGCCCAGCAUUUCGGGGCUCAAUUUCUUCACGGGCAUGAAUGGAGGCAGAGUGAAGGUGUCCGGAAAAGUGUCGGGUUGCUCAUCUGCAUCAACAAAAUUGCAAAGGGCAUCGGAGACUCGCUUUAGCGACUGAAUAGCUGGACAGCCUCCUCAUCUUCCAACCUCGAAGCCGAGCAUCCCAUCUCUUCAAGACUGUCUAGGAAUGUUUCAGAUUGAAACCACAAUUUUGCAAGCCGAAGGAAAGAAGAUGAUAUCUGUUUGAGAAGCUCUCCUGAGGUAUGAGGAUUGAAAGAACUUGCGAACAGUGGAGGUAACUUUAUAUCCCCUUUGGAUCUGCUCUCUCCUCAGCAAAGAAAAUUCAGUCAGCAGAAACCCUUCUCCAGACUGAACCUUGGGAUCAAGGUAAUCGGUACGUCAACGAUUUACCAUUUCGACAUCUUAUUACUUCACGUAAUACUGGAAUGAUUAAGAAAAAGACGAAGCACAAAAGAAAAUAUGUUGAA